rnacentral:misc_RNA from 1 species
UCGUACAACAGGAGGUGCCCAGGUUGUCGCUGACCCCCUGGGUCGUGCACGCCUCGAGCAUUCUUACUCCUCAUCCACCUCACCCCUUGUGCAUCCCCGCGUGGGCUUCUCUUUCGAGAGGCCGGCGUCUUUUCACAAACACAAAGCAGUUUAGAAUGUUCUUUGCAUUUGUAUGCAGUUAAUA